UCACCCUUUGCUUUCAUUGUUCUCUUUAGGAAAUGAGAAUAUAGCUGGGACUAGUCAGGGAACAGAGUGACGGUCCAGAUAGGUGGCUAUAGUAGUCCUCACUAUUAUGUGAAAUAGUAUGAUAAUAAUUGUAAUGAGGACUUUAUUUGAGUUUGUGAUAACCCGAGAAUUUUGAAAUUUUUUUAAAAUUUUUAUUAAUUGAUUUAAGGUUCAAAAUUAGAACCUAGACAGAAAAAAGGUGUAUGCGUUUGAUAUUUUUAAAGAUAGAAUUUUGAGGAUUUCAAAAUUCUGUGAAGGAUUUAGGUGAAUUAUUCAGGAUUAAGGGAAUAUGUGAAUAUGUUCUGUGUAUAUGUGUACAAUAUGUG
rnacentral:lncRNA from 1 species